UACGUAGGGGGGCGAGCGUUUGUCCGGAUUUAUUGGGCGUAAAGCGCGCGCAGGCGGCCUCUUAAGUCUGAUGUGAAAGCCCCCGGCUCAACCGGGGAGGGCCAUUGGAAACUGGGAGGCUUGAGUAUAGGAGAGAGGAGUGGAAUUCCACGUGUAGCGGUGAAAUGCGUAGAGAUGUGGAGGAACACCAGUGGCGAAGGCGACUCUUUGGCCUAUAACUGACGCUGAGGCGCGAAAGCGUGGGGAGCAAACAGG
rnacentral:rRNA from 1 species